GGAAGAUGCAGUACGGCAUACAUUUUUGUGGCGCUCUCAUGUUACUGCCCCACCGAGCAGCUAAUGAUUAGCUUUACGCUUGGAGAGCAUAAAACGACCUCUGUGACGCCACCAGAUGUCAAAAUCCAGGGCUUUGUGAAAAGCCAGAACAGUGUUCUCAGCACCAGGCAGCGAGAGGAGAUGACUGAUGUUGCGGGAGAAUGCCAAACUUUGUAAGGAGAAGGCUGUCUGCGGAUGGGGUUGUGAGAGGGGCACAGUCUCAGGGCUACUGUCUGAUGGAUGACUCAUAUACGGAUGGAGACCCCGAAGAAGACAGGCAGGUUGGUGAUUCACCCUGCAAAAAAAAAAAGAAAAGAAAAGAAAAGAUAUGUGUGUAUAUAUUGGUGUGUGCGUGCCCUGUGUUCAUUUAUUCUAUGCAUGUAAAUGAAUCGGUAUGAUCUGUGCACCCCUAUACAUAUUUAGUGUACAGUAUGUAGCCUGCUGGGUGUGCUCACUUUUCUGUAAACAAGCAUAAAUUAGCAUCACAAGUGUACUGUAUAUGUGUGUGCGUGCACGUGUGCGUACAUGUGUAUGUACAGUAUAGAGGACGUGUGUCCUAUGGGUUACAGCUUGCUCUGCUUUGGGCUGUUUUUGUUUAUCUUCCUUGCAGAGGGAGAGUCGCUAUAUGCAUAAUCAAAGACACGCCACAGGGAAUUGUUGACUCCAUCAAUCCAGCGCGCAGGAGUGAGCUCCUCAUUCCACACUGCGCAGCCCCAAACUCGCGCUCUUAUCAGCCUGCUGAAACAAUACAAAACGGCAACACAAAGGCAAGCAUUGCCGGGUGCGCACGGAUGUGACUGAAGUGAUCUCAUUAUUUUCUUGUCAGAUAUGUCUACACCUUCAAGGCAGGAGAGGAACACUCUCAUCAAAGAUAUCACAGGCUGAGGGGACCGCAUUGAUAUUCCGGUGGCCACGUAUCUGCAUCUUUUUCUAUUAUUCAGAAUAUCUGAGGCUGCAAUAGCAUUACUGAAUGAUUCAAUUUGAUCAUAAAAAAAAGAAACGCUUGGAAAGUGAAAAAGAAUGAUGAAGUAAUCAAAAAAAAAAGGUGUGGGGGCGAGAUUCUUCUGACACAUUAUAAGCCUUGCGUCAAAGGCAAAGGCAUCAUUUGAGCCUGCCGGAAAUGAUUAAUAUUAGAACAAGGAGAGAUCAAUAGAAUCCCUUUGAUGUGUUAUGGCUGCACUGUGUAUCCAUCACGGCAGUUACAGGAGCGGGUCACAGAGGCCAUAAUGAGCGGCCGUCAGGUGAAUGUGGCUGCGGUCACAGCCGUCAGAGUCUAUCGUUUCACAGUGUGGUGAUUGAUCAGUGAGGCAGGAUUCUUGGCUGAUGAUGAGGCAGUUAUCUCAUGGAGAGACAUUAAUCUUCUGCCAUGAUGAGGAGGCAGUGUAGGAGCGUGUGUGGGUGUCUUUUUGAUAGGUGAACGCGGUGCUUGUUUAUUCACAUCAGCGUUGAUGAGGAUUUGUCAAGAAAAGAAAAGAGAAAAGGGAAUACUGUGCCUUGGUGUGUCCCUCACAUAUACACUCACACACUCGCUUAUUAACUCUCCCAAGGGUCACCUUGAGCUGCACAAAUUGGCUUUGGUUGGUUGAGGUCUCAGUGGUUACAAAUUAGUCAGGCACUGCAUCCCUUUGAAGGUCUGAACUCGGCGCACUCUUCUAACUCUCUCUCCAAACAUGAUGCCUUUUCUGUAGUUUUCUUUUUGCAGCGCUCUCUUGUGUUCUCUUUUUUUUGCUAUUAAUCCCCCUCUCAUUUAUCAAAUCUGUAUCUGCUUCUCAUUGUCACUUCAUCUUUGUCUCCUCUCUCCCUUUGCUCACUUGCUCACUCACCCGCUUGCUUCCUCCUCACUGACGAGUGGAGAGGAAAGUUGUCCCGCGGUAUCACUAAAUGCAGCUGCUGUUCAAAUACAGCUUCCCCUCUCCAAACCGCUAUCCUCCCUCUGCCGUUUAUGUGCAUGCACAACUGCAGCUUUACGUAUCGUCACAGUGAAUAAGCUUGUUUGCGCGGCUGACACGCAGGAAAUUUGGAAAGUGCUUUCAUUUAGGAAGAAUGAUACUGCUGUCUCACCAAAGUAACUGAGACCAUUAAUUUCCUGCAGGCUACGCUGUCUGUGGAAACAAGCACUUGUUUAGUAACUGCCAUCAGCAUACAUCCAUAUAUCCACAUGGAAACCUGGGAGUGUUGGAAUAAUGUAAAGUGUAAGUGCUGCAGUUAAAUGGUACUUUAUGCAUGACAAUGAGUAUUAAUUACAGCGAGAGAGUAUUAUUUAAACAGAUUAUAGAUUUUGGCUUUGGUACUUUAAUUAACAGCUUUGUUUACAUUCUGUUCUCGUCAAUGCAGUAUUCUGUAUUCUGUGUGUAAUCUGGACUUGGUCCAUUUUAUCGAUCGCAUUUCCACAGUUCUCUAAGAACUCCUCCUUUGUUCUCUGUAUUUGCACAUUUGGAUAUUGAGCCGCUUAGUGCACGUUUUCCCGUUUCACCUCUACAAUGUCACUUCCUAUGCCGCUCAAAAUUAAAUAUGGGCCAUUUAGUGACCUAUUAGUCCGGCACAGUGCACAAACAUACAGCACUUAAUC